AUACGUAGGGGGCGAGCGUUGUCCGGAAUGAUUGGGCGUAAAGGGCGCGUAGGCGGCGCGGUAAGUCUGGAGUGAAAGUCCUGCUUUCAAGGUGGGAAUUGCUUUGGAUACUGCCGCGCUUGAGUGCAGGAGAGGUUAUCGGAAUUCCCAGUGUAGCGGUGAAAUGCGUAGAGAUUGGGAGGAACACCAGUGGCGAAGGCGACUUACUGGGCCGUAACUGACGCUGAGGCGCGAAAGCGUGGGGAGCGAACAAGAUUAGAUACCCUGGUAGUCCACGCGGUAAACGAUGAAUGCUAGGUGUUGCGGGUAUCGACCCCUGCAGUGCCGGAGUAAACACAAUAAGCAUUCCGCCUGGGGAGUACGGCCGCAAGGUUGAAACUCAAAUGAAUUGGCGGGG
rnacentral:rRNA from 1 species